rnacentral:lncRNA from 1 species
CUGAUGCUGAGCUGGCACGUGAAGAAUGUGUGGGGACCUACAGUCAGUGCUGGAGGACCAAACUGACCACCAUGACAUUUCAUGAUGGAUGUACCUGGCAGAGACAGGCUUUGAAGUGCUUCCGUCAGAAUGGGCUGUGCUUUAGUCACAGGUCCCUGGGACUGAACUCGGGGUGUCAGGCUUGGCAGCAGGCUCCCUAACCUCUGAACCAUGUCAUCAGCCUUAAGACGUUUUUAUGCCUGAGUCUCCUGGAGACGUCUCAGAAUUCUGCAGGAAAGGCUGGGGUGGGAGAAACAUAAAAAUGAAUUAUCAACCCUAUCAGGCCUGAGUUCCAAGGCGCUUGUUCUCCUGGAAAUAAAUACUGUCAUAUUUCACUUU